rnacentral:tRNA from 1 species
UCCCUGGAGGACUAGUGGUUAGGCCACAGUGCUCUCACCGCUGUGGCCCAGGUUUGAUUCCUGGCCAGGGAA